rnacentral:misc_RNA from 1 species
CAACCAGCAUUAUUAGCUGAGAAUGAAGAGAAUAAGUCAAAGAGUGAUGAAAGUGAGAGUGAAGAAGAAGAGAGUGGAUCCGACAGUGACAAUGAAGAGGAAGAAGAGGAGGAGGAUGGAGAGGGAGAUAACUCUAAAAAGAAGUCCAUCACCCGACCAAAAAAUGAAACUGCAGAAGACAGAAGAGAAAGAAAAAAAGAGGUGAAAGAGGAAAAGCGGGAAAAGAGGAAAAACAAAAUCCCAAAACAUGUCAAAAAGCGAAAGGAAAAAAUUGGCAAACAGGGCAAGAAAACGUGAUGUCUAUUAUGACAUGAAAAUGAAUCUCCAUGCAAUCUGCAUACUCUUUGUCACAGGAGUUAGGCAGAGGCCAAGGUAUCGGUAGGUGGAUUGCCAGAGCCCAAGAUGGAUGGACCGCCACAAUAAAGUGUCACCACCAAGAAAGCUCUCAGUGCUGUCAAGUUGCUCAGUUUCUUUGACAUGGAUGCUGGAGUACGGAGAAUUUCUGUUCCAUCUGGACUAUGAAGAUUUAUAUUAUUAAAUAUCAACAUACAUUUCAACACACGUUUGUGAGUUUAUAUCUUAUGGAAAACAAUCUGUAUGUUCAUGCAAAAUAUGUUGAUUGAAAUUUAUUGAAACCUAAAAUUUUUAGACUAAGAUAUAUGGUUCAGGUUAAGCCCACGCAUAGUAUUGAAACAUUAUCAAAAUAGAUUAUAAAUAAUUGUAAUUGCUAUAUUUUGUUUGUGUUGUACAAACUUAUUGCUAGCGCUCUCGAGCGCUAGCAACUACGUUAGUCUUUUGCACUGGAAUACGCAUGCUCGACUCCAUAGUGGGGGGUUCUGGGAAUACUUUACUACUGUAGAUAAACUGUACGAUUUGAAUUUCGUUUUAUCAUAUUCACAUGAAGUUUUGUGUUUUAUUGUUAAAGUCAAAAAGUAACAGUAGCUAAAGGUCUUAUACCGGUACGUUAUAUUCAAUAUUAUAAUAGAUAGCUUACUUUAUCUUAAAUUCCUUCAAGCUUGGAAAACAACUUAGGAUAUGUUUUCCAACUUGCCGGAAAGGCCCGAGAAGAUAUGAUUGCUACAAAAACAGUACCAAUGGUUCUUGAAAAUUUUCACCUCGAAAUUGAAAUUACAGUAGCUACAGAAUGAUUAAGGCACAGUCAAUAAGCUAUGCCAUUGCCGAUGUGACGUCCACUCUAGAUUCACAAUUUUAAAUUGAGACCCCACUCUAGCACAAUUACAGUAGGUUACACCACUGUACGUGCCUUCCUAUUGUUAAUUAAUCGAUUCAGAAAUUUAAACCAAUGUUUUAGAAAUCUGCUUCUGUGUUUUACGAUGGCUACAGCGCUAGCUCAUCAAUCUUUUUAAAAGAUAAGCUUGUAAAUGAAUAAUAUUAUGCCUCUUGUUAAUGAAUGCGUCAUUGCAUUAAAAAAAUUAUUGUAUCACUAACAUUUUAUACAUGUAAGUAUGGUUUGCUCUAUGUGGUAUUGAAAUGUUCUCUUUUUAGUCUAAUAAAUUUUUGAAAAUA